UAUGUUCUAUAAUAAUAGUUUAUACAUUUAUAUUAUUGAAGUUUAUUCAUUAAUGAUGGUAAUAUAGUAAUAUGGUGAAUUUAUAUGGUUUAGAUGUUAUUGAUAAAAAUAGUUGGGGAAAAAGAGUAAAUAAGGUAAUUUACAAGGGCUGAUAUAGUAUUAAGGAAUAGUUAAGGCAGAUAAUGAUUCUAUAUAUUUAGACUUAGGCAGCAAGGAUCUGACGUUUAAGAGGAUAAUUAUAAGAUUAAGUAAAAUUUAAGGAGAAGACACGUAUUAUAAUCGACGAGUCAUCUUCCCCUUCAUCUUCAUCCGAUCAUCAAUCUUCUUUAAAAACCCCCCUUCUGCAUAUAAAUUCCACACCAUCUUCCACUUAAUCUCAGCAAGAAAAACCUCCCCAUAAUCCCAAGAAAUAUCUUCUAUCACAAACCAUAGAGAGAAGUCAAGAAAAUACGAGGCAGCCAGGGUUUAAUCGACGGAGACAAAGAUGGUGACUUGACGAUCUUUCCGGCGGAGUUUUGGCGAGCGGGGUAUAGGGCUCGAAAGCCCUCUGUAUAAGCUUCGAUUUGGUGGAAAUUUCCGGCUUGUUUCUCCGGUGGUGAUAGUUGUGAUCCGACGGCGAAGUUCAGCUGAUCCUAAAACCUUUCGGAUUUAAUUAGAGGUUUUGAGAUCGAGGAACCGUGAUCGACGAGUACUCUUGAUUGGACCAAGACACAGGUGCGGCUUGAAUGCAUCAGAGGAAUUCCCGUUCGAGUAACUACCUUGUUUAUAUUUGUAAAAUAGUGGUUCGAUUAAGUUAAGAAUAAUCGUUGUCUUGUAUUAUAAAUAUCAGCGUUUGAAUUUAUUUAUGUUAUAGUAUUGUAAUCUCAUAAGCUAGAAACUGCUGUUGUAAAUGUCCGGAACCUUUGUACUUUACCUUGCUAGACAUGAGGUUGUUAAUAAAUAAAUCGUACGUAUUUUUGUGAA